rnacentral:rRNA from 1 species
GAUGAACGCUGGCGGCGUGCCUAAUACAUGCAAGUCGAGCGAACAGACGAGGAGCUUGCUCCUCUGAUGUUAGCGGCGGACGGGUGAGUAACACGUGGAUAACCUACCUAUAAGACUGGGAUAACUUCGGGAAACCGGAGCUAAUACCGGAUAACAUGUUGAACCGCAUGGUUCAACAGUGAAAGACGGUCUUGCUGUCACUUAUAGAUGGAUCCGCGCCGCAUUAGCUAGUUGGUAAGGUAACGGCUUACCAAGGCAACGAUGCGUAGCCGACCUGAGAGGGUGAGCGGCCACACUGGAACUGAGACACGGUCCAGACUCCGACGGGAGGCAGCAGUAGGGAAUCUUCCGCAAUGGGCGAAAGCCUGACGGAGCAACGCCGCGUGAGUGAAGAAGGUCUUCGGAUCGUAAAACUCUGUUAUUAGGGAAGAACAAAUGUGUAAGUAACUAUGCACGUCUUGACGGUACCUAAUCAGAAAGCCACGGCUAACUACGUG